rnacentral:rRNA from 1 species
AGAGUUUGAUCCUGGCUCAGAACGUACGCUGGCGGCACGCCUAACACAUGCAAGUCGAACGAAGUAGCAAUACUUAGUGGCAGACGGGUGAGUAACAUGUAGGUAUCUGCCCUUUGGCCUGGAAUAACACGAGGAAACUUGUGCUAAUACCGGAUAAGUCUUUACGGAGAAAGCUUUAUGCACCAUUGGAUGAGCCUGCACUUGAUUAGUUUGUUGGUAGGGUAAUGGCCUACCAAGACUGUGAUCAAUAGCUGAUUUGAGAGGAUGAUCAGCCACAUUGGGACUGAGACACGGCCCAAACUCCUACGGGAGGCAGCAGUGGGGAAUCUUGCACAAUGGAGGAAACUCUGAUGCAGCGAUGCCGCGUGAGUGAAGAAGGCCUUUGGGUUGUAAAGCUCUUUCGUCGGGGAAGAAAAUGACUGUACCCGAAUAAGAAGGUCCGGCUAACUUCGUGCCAGCAGCCGCGGUAAUACGAAGGGACCUAGCGUAGUUCGGAAUUACUGGGCUUAAAGAGUUCGUAGGUGGUUGAAAAAGUUGUUGGUGAAAUCCCCAGAGCUUAACUCUGGAACUGCCAUCAAAACCUUUUCAGCUAGAGUUUGAUAGAGAAAGCAGAAUUUCUAGUGUAGAGGUGAAAUUCGUAGAUAUUAGAAAGAAUACCAAUUGCGAAGGCAGCUUUUCUGGAUCAUUACUGACACUGAGGAACGAAAGCAUGGGUAGCGAAGAGGAUUAGAUACCCUCGUAGUCCAUGCCGUAAACGAUGUGUGUUAGACGUUGGAAAUUUAUUUUCAGUGUCGCAGCGAAAGCGAUAAACACACCGCCUGGGGAGUACGACCGCAAGGUUAAAACUCAAAUGAAUUGACGGGGACCCGCACAAGUAGUGGAGCAUGUGGUUUAAUUCGAAGAUACGCGCAGAACCUUACCAACACUUGACAUGUUCGUCGCGACUCUAAGAGAUUAGAGUUUUCGGUUCGGCCGGACGAAACACAGGUGCUGCAUGGCUGUCGUCAGCUCGUGUCGUGAGAUGUUGGGUUAAGUCCCGCAACGAGCGCAACCCUCACUUUUAGUUGCCAUCAUUAAGUUGGGCACUCUGAAAGAACUGCCAGUGAUAAGCUGGAGGAAGGUGGGGAUGACGUCAAGUCCUCAUGGCCCUUACGUGUUGGGCUACACACGUGCUACAAUGGUAUCUACAACAGGAAGCAAGACUGCGAAGUUAAGCAAAUCCCUAAAAGAUACCUCAGUUCGGAUUGCACUCUGCAACUCGAGUGCAUGAAGCUGGAAUUACUAGUAAUCGUGGAUCAGCGUGCCACGGUGAAUGCGUUCCCGGGUCUUGUACACACCGCCCGUCACACCAUGGGAGUUGGUUCUACCUUAAGGCAAGGUUUUAAACCCUUGACCACGGUAUAGUCAGCGACUGGGGUGAAGUCGUAACAAGGUA